rnacentral:misc_RNA from 1 species
CGCACCUUGCACCCUUUGGUAUUCCGAAGGGUAUGCCUGUUUGAGUGUCAUUAAAUUCUCAAACUGAAUGGAUUAGUUUAUUCUGAUCACUUCAAGUUUGGAUCUGAGGGCUUUUGUCGGACUCUAACGAGGUCGACUCCCUUUAAAUGCAUUAGCGGAUUUAACCAUCGUGGAUACGCCUCGAUUUGAUAAUAUCUAUGUCGUCGCGCUGAAGCGGUAAUCUGCUCCUAACCGUCCUCUCUGUGGGACAACUUUAUUUGACAAUUUGACCUCAAAUCAGGUAGGACUACCCGCUGAACUUAA